rnacentral:rRNA from 1 species
CGUAACAAGGUCUCCGUAGGUGAACCUGCGGAGGGAUCAUUACACAAAUAUGAAGGCGGGCUGGAACCUCUCGGGGUUACAGCCUUGCUGAAUUAUUCACCCUUGUCUUUUGCGUACUUCUUGUUUCCUUGGUGGGUUCGCCCACCACUAGGACAAACAUAAACCUUUUGUAAUUGCAAUCAGCGUCAGUAACAAAUUAAUAAUUACAACUUUCAACAACGGAUCUCUUGGUUCUGGCAUCGAUGAAGAACGCAGCGAAAUGCGAUAAGUAGUGUGAAUUGCAGAAUUCAGUGAAUCAUCGAAUCUUUGAACGCACAUUGCGCCCUUUGGUAUUCCAAAGGGCAUGCCUGUUCGAGCGUCAUUUGUACCCUCAAGCUUUGCUUGGUGUUGGGCGUCUUGUCUCUAGCUUUACUGGAGACUCGCCUUAAAGUAAUUGGCAGCCGGCCUACUGGUUUCGGAGCGCAGCACAAGUCGCACUCUCUAUCAGCAAAGGUCUAGCAUCCAUUAAGCCUUUUUUUCAACUUUUGACCUCGGAUCAGGUAGGGAUACCCGCUGAACUUAAGC